rnacentral:rRNA from 1 species
GACGAACGCUGGCGGCGUGCCCAAUACAUGCAAGUAGAACGCUGAAGAGAGGAGCUUACUCUUCUUGGAUGAGUUGCGAACGGGUGAGUAACGCGUAGGUAACCUGCCUUGUAGCGGGGGAUAACUAUUGGAAACGAUAGCUAAUACCGCAUAACAAUGGAUGACACAUGUCAUUUAUUUGAAAGGGGCAAUUGCUCCACUACAAGAUGGACCUGCGUUGUAUUAGCUAGUAGGUGAGGUAAUGGCUCACCUAGGCGACGAUACAUAGCCGACCUGAGAGGGUGAUCGGCCACACUGGGACUGAGACACGGCCCAGACUCCUACGGAAGGCAGCAGUAGGGAAUCUUCGGCAAUGGGGGCAACCCUGACCGAGCAACGCCGCGUGAGUGAAGAAGGGUUUCGGAUCGUAAAGCUCUGUUGUAAGUCAAGAACGGGUGUGAGAGUGGAAAGUUCACACUGUGACGGUAGCUUACCAGAAAGGGACGGCUAACUACGUG